UACAGAGGCCCCAAGCGUUAGGCGGAAUCACUGGGCUUAAAGCGUGUGUAGGCGGGACCGUAAGUACUUUGUGAAAGCCCUCGGCUCAACCGAGGAAUUGCGCUCUAAACUGCAGUGCUUGAGGAACCUAGAGGUGAGCAGAACAGAUGGUGGAGCGGUGAAAUGCGUUGAUAUCAUCUGGAAUACCGGAGGCGAAGGCGGCUCACCGGGAGUUUUCUGACGCUGAGGAACGAAAGCCAGGGUAGCGAACGGG
rnacentral:rRNA from 1 species